UACAGAGGGUGCGAGCGUUAAUCGGAAUUACUGGCGUAAAGCGCGCGUAGGCGGCUUUGCAAGUCGGGUGUGAAAUCCCCAGGCUUAACCUGGGAACUGCAUUCGAGACUGCAUUGCUAGAGUAUGGGAGAGGGAAGUGGAAUUUCCGGUGUAGCGGUGAAAUGCGUAGAUAUCAGGAGGAACACCGAUGGCGAAGGCAGGUCUCUGGGCCAUA
rnacentral:rRNA from 1 species